GGGGUGUUAGUUAAAUGGAUAUAACAUACGGCUACGGACCGUAUAUUGCGGGUUCGAUUCCUACACACCCUGCCA
rnacentral:tRNA from 2 species